AACCAUAGAAACCUGCGGAGUACCUGCGGAAGGAUCAUUAAAGAGUGAUGCCACCCUUCAAAGGGCUGGUAGUAAACUCCAACCCCCUAUGUUUUUAUUUACCUUUUUGUUGCUUAGGCGGUUCGUAAAGCUUUUUUUUUUUUAAAAAAAAAUGGCUUUCCAUUGGCUUUUUUCUUAGGCUGAUGAGUUUUAACCGCCAAAGGACUUAAAAACUCUUUGAAAUUUAUUGUCUGAGAUUUU
rnacentral:misc_RNA from 1 species